GCUUUGUUCAGCUGUCUACCAUAGUCAGGUGCCUAAUAAGUGCUGAGACUUGCAAGACCACCUGGGCAGAUGGGUUGAUGCCCUCUGGUGAGCACCCCCAGCAGCCAGGCCCCUGUCCACGUGUCUGCCUGCUCCCGCUUGUGUUUGACUGUCACAACGCUGCAUGCCAGGGACACCGGCUCCCAUCCCUCCUGUCGAGAAGGACACAGCAAGUGCGUGGGGGUAAGGCAUUUGCCAGGUGGCACAGGUGCUGAGGGUCGGAGCUGGGAUUUGAACCCAGAUCAUGGAACUCUGCGUGGGGGAGUGCAGGUGUGGGGAUGCCCAUAAACGAAGGAAGGGUGGCCCAGCCCACGGAGCCCAGCUGCUCCCUGCAACCCUGGAGGAAACUGCUCUGCCCUCAGGUGGGGAGAGGGCCCAGGAGGCCAGGCCUCCCCUUGCUUGCUGGCUCAGGGGAUCACAGUGGGACAAGGCGAUUUAGUGUGUGUGUCUUCUUUCUUUUUCUCUAUUUCAUUCAAAAGUUCAUUUAGUAUCAAGCAAGAGGAGCCUUAGCUUAACCCUCCAGAUCAGGCAAGACUUGAGUUACAAAAGAAUACAUUCUUUUUGCACUCCUAAUUGUCUUCCUCUCUACUUUUGUUGGCAAGAGCAGGUCUGUGUCCUAGGUUCGGAAUCCAUUUUUCAUCCCACACCAAAGCGCUUGCUGUUUGGGUGAGCACCCUGGAGCCUGGCCACGUGGAGCUGUGUAGCAGGAGGGUCCCUGCAGGAGGGUCACAGAGCCACUGCCCGGGUCCAGCUCAACUGUGCUGACAGGGUUGCCUGAUCUGGCUCCCUGGGGCUUAAAGCAUCCUGUUCCCAGGAUCUGCACAUAGGGAUGCCUUUCUGCAUCUCACCGUCAGUGGUAGGUGCUCGUGCUCCUCCCCCCGCUCAGCAGGGCCUGGAGACCGUGGGCGGCUUAUGUUCCACGAUUUUGAGGCCAUUUGCAGCGAGUUCCGCCAGGCUGCCCCUCCCCUGCAGCCGCGGCCACCUGGGCACAGCACCGCCACGAGUGUCUUCGGGGCUUUCUUCAGAGGAGACAGUCAGCAUCCUCAAGUACCAGGCGCUCUGGCCCCAGUCCUGCUUGUAGACGCCUUUUCCCACGGGCUGCCUCUCCUUAUCAAUGGCCUGAAGCUUGGCCAGUUUCCACGAGGUCUGGCGGGAACACAAGGCUGUCACUGACAUUUGUGGCACCAGAACUUACAAGCACGCGGGUUGCACACGUCGGACACUGCCACGUGCAGUAACUUGCCAUCUGAGAAUUUGCCAAUUAUUUUCUGACUAUAAGGAAAAACAGAUGCCAAAAAACUGUUCUGAAAACAGCAAUCCAGAGCAAGACUUAAAGCUGACAUCAGAGGAAGAGCCACAAAGGCUUAAAGGAAGUGAAAAUAGCCAGCAUGAG
rnacentral:lncRNA from 1 species